GGCUGGUGUUGAGGGUCCCAGCUGAUCCCUCAAGGCUCAAGAUGCUGGGCCCGUGUAACAGAAUGAAGGCUCUUCCCGCUGUCCCAUUCCUCGGACCUCUGCCUCUUGCUUCAGAUGUCACCCUUCAGAUGUCAUUCCAGCAUCCUGCUUCCUGAAGCACCUGAGCUGAUAGAGCUGAGUCUCCCUUUAACCUUGUUAGCCCUCUUCUACCUCCCCCGUCCCGUCUGUCCUGCCUGGCACAAACUCGGCC
rnacentral:lncRNA from 1 species